ACCAGUUGGGUUUGGAACCAACCAGUUAAAACAAACCAAUGGGUUUAGAACCAUCCAGUUGAGUUUAGAACCAACCAGUUGGGUUUAGGAUGAACCAGUUGGGUUUAGAACCAUCCAGUUGAGUUUAGAACCAAUGACCAACCAGUUGAGUUUAGAACCAAUGAGUUGAGACAAACCAAUGAGUUUAGAGCCAACCAGUUGGGUUCAGAGCCAACCAGUUGGGUUUAGAGCCAACCAGUUGAGUUUAGAGCCAACCAGUUGGGUUCAGAGCCAACCAGUUGGGUUUAGAGC